rnacentral:rRNA from 1 species
UGAUAGGAGAACUCCGUUCUGAAGCGGGGCGAGUGUCGUGUCGGCGUGCUACSAGCGCGAACGUCUGCCCGUACCUAUCGAAAGGGAACCGNGUUAAUAUUCCCGGACCCGAGCACGGAGAUCGGCCCUUCGGGUCCAGUGCGGCAACGAAACGAACCAGGAGACGUCGGCGCAAGUCCCGGGAAGAGUUCUCUUUUCUUUGUAAGGGACGUAAGCCCUGGAAUCGGCUUGUCGGAGAGAGGGCCUUUGUUCCGUAAAGCA